UACAGAGGUCCCAAGCGUUGUUCGGAUUCACUGGGCGUAAAGGGUGCGUAGGUGGUGGGGUAAGUCGGAUGUGAAAUCUUGGAGCUUAACUCCGAAACUGCAUUCGAUACUGCCGUGCUUGAGGACUGGAGAGGAGACUGGAAUUUACGGUGUAGCGGUGAAAUGCGUAGAGAUCGUAAGGAAGACCAGUGGCGAAGGCGGGUCUCUGGACAGUUCCUGACGCUGAGGCACGAAGGCCAGGGGAGCAAACGGG
rnacentral:rRNA from 1 species